rnacentral:rRNA from 1 species
GACGAACGCUGGCGGCGUGCUUAACACAUGCAAGUCGAACGGAAAGGCCCUGCUUUUGUGGGGUGCUCGAGUGGCGAACGGGUGAGUAACACGUGAGUAACCUGCCCUUGACUUUGGGAUAACUUCAGGAAACUGGGGCUAAUACCGUAUAGGAGCUCCUGCUGCAUGGUGGGGGUUGGAAAGUUUCGGCGGUUGGGGAUGGACGCGCGGCUUAUCAGCUUGUUGGUGGGGUAGUGGCUUACCAAGGCUUUGACGGGUAGCCGGCCUGAGAGGGUGACCGGCGACAAUGGGACUGAGGGACGGCGCAGACUCCUACGGGAGACAGCAGGGGGGAAUAUGGCACAAUGGGCGGAAGCCUGAUGCGGCAACGCCGCGUGCGGAAUGACGGCCUUCGGGUUGUAAACCGCUUUCGCCUGUGACGAAGCGUGAGUGACGGUAAUGGGUAAAGAAGCACCGGCUAACUACGUG